GGGCUCGUGGCUCAAUGGUAGAGCAUUCGCCCUAAUUCCAAAGGUCUGGGUUCGAAUCACAGUUUGUUCA
rnacentral:tRNA from 1 species